UACGUAGGGUGCAAGCGUUAUCCGGAAUUAUUGGGCGUAAAGAGCUCGUAGGCGGUUUGUCACGUCUGCUGUGAAAACUGGAGGCUCAACCCCCAGCCUGCAGUGGGUACGGGCAGACUAGAGUGCGGUAGGGGAGAUUGGAAUUCCUGGUGUAGCGGUGGAAUGCGCAGAUAUCAGGAGGAACACCGAUGGCGAAGGCAGAUCUCUGGGCCGUAACUGACGCUGAGGAGCGAAAGCAUGGGGAGCGAACAGG
rnacentral:rRNA from 1 species